AAAAAAGGGGAAAAGUGGAGUUGUUCAAUUUACAAAUAUUAAGCUUGUAUAAAUAACAUGAAAUCUUUCUGUUUCCCUUCAAAACAUAUGCCAAUCUUGAAGAUCACACUUAAUUUUCAGCGGUGUUACAUCUACAUAUCUAAAUCAUGUUAAUACCAAAUGAAAUAGUUAUGGUUUUCCUCCGCCCCCUUGGAGCAGUGGAAGGAAACCCCAUCUAUCGAGAAACUUUCAACGAGGGAAUAUUUUGGGGUCUGCCAUUUCACCACUGAUGCUGCAAGCACCAACGAGUCAUCUGCUUAAGACUCCUUUCCUUCCAGUGUCCGCCAGAUUACAAGUGAGGACACUGAGGUUGUAAGAGAACUAAUCAUAAAGGGACUGUGCGUAUAUCUUCACGAGGACCCAGCACACCUGUUCAUGGAAUAUGAGAGUGAAGACCAUGCUGCAAUCCAGGACGGAAUCGGGGACACCACGGUGGGAAUUUUCCUCAUAAGGCAAAAUGGCGGUAGUGAGGUAGAGGACAUCCUUGUGGUCCUUGAAGGCCAGGCCAUAUUGGUCGACCUACCAAGUGUUGGAGUGGCGGUUGCCAUGCUGUUUGGCCCUAUUUACAACUUAAACCUGGACUACUCUCCUCAACUCAGAUACACCUUUGAGGUGGUACAGAAAGUUGUAAUGGAGUUGGAAGGCAAAGUGCUGUCAAAAAGGGCUCAGGCCCUGAAAAUCCAACUCUUUGAAUACAGAUGGUAUCUUAGAAAACGUCAUAGUUUUCUGUUUUGCAAAUUUUGUUAUAUAUGUUUAUGAGAGCGCCUAAGU